rnacentral:rRNA from 1 species
UAGGGAAUCUUCGGCAAUGGACGAAAGUCUGACCGAGCAACGCCGCGUGAGUGAAGAAGGUUUUCGGAUCGUAAAACUCUGUUGUUAGAGAAGAACAAGGACGUUAGUAACUGAACGUCCCCUGACGGUAUCUAACCAGAAAGCCACGGCUAACUACGUGCCAGCAGCCGCGGUAAUACGUAGGUGGCAAGCGUUGUCCGGAUUUAUUGGGCGUAAAGCGAGCGCAGGCGGUUUCUUAAGUCUGAUGUGAAAGCCCCCGGCUCAACCGGGGAGGGUCAUUGGAAACUGGGAGACUUGGGUGCAGAAGAGGGGAGUAGAAUUCCAUGUGAAGCGGUGAAAUGCGUAGAUAUAUGGAGGAACACCAGUGGCGAAGGCGGCUCUCUGGUCUGUAACUGAAGCUGAGGCUCGAAAGCGUGGGGAGCAAACAGG